UGAUGAGUAAACUUGAAUAGCCAUGGAGAUUAUUCCAGGCUGGAUGACCUUCUUAUUUUAAAUUUAAAUUAAGAGAACCUCUAGACUUGCCACUGCCACAAGGAAUGACUGCCUUCUGUGCUGAUGACAGAUCUACCCCUCUGUUAUCAGACACUGCUCUUUUGCCAUCUCAGUUUCAUAACAAUUGCCUCUGCCUGGGAGCCAGUGGAGCAGCCGUGUUGGGCAAAGCAGUUCUCCGAGGAGGAGAAUGAUGGAUGAUGGAGUGAUUCCCUUCAACAUGGCUGAGGCACUGAGUCUCCUGCUGAGCUCUGGGCAUGCUUGAGGACCUCUAGUGCUCCUUUCCAGUGCAACUUCAGCUGCUCCAGUGCAGGUAGUGAAACUAUCCAAAG